rnacentral:rRNA from 1 species
AACGAACGCUGGCGGCAUGCCUAACACAUGCAAGUCGAACGAGACCUGCGGGUCUAGUGGCGCACGGGUGCGUAACGCGGGGGAACCUGCCCUUAGGUUCGGAAUAACUCCCCGAAAGGGGUGCUAAUACCGGAUAAUGUCUUCGGACCAAAGAUUUAUCGCCUUGGGAUGGGCCCGAGUUGGAUUAGCUAGUUGGUAGGGUAAAAGCCUACCAAGGCGACGAUCCAUAGCUGGUCUGAGAGGAUGAUCAGCCACACUGGGACUGAGACACGGCCCGAACUCCUACGGGAGGCAGCAGUGGGGAAUAUUGGACGAUGGGCGAAAGCCUGAUCCAGCAAUGCCGCGUGAGUGAUGAAGGCCUUAGGGUUGUAAAGCUCUUUUACCCGGGAUGAUAGUGACAGUACCGGGAGAAUAAGCUCCGGCUAACUCCGUG